GCUGGGCAUUGUGGUAGGUGCCUGUAAUCCCAGCUUCUUGGGAGGCUGAGGCAAGAGAAUCACUUAAGCCCAAGAGUUUGAGGUAUCUAUGAGCUGUGACCCCACAGCACUCUACCGAGGGUGACAAAGUAAGACUCUGUCUCAAACAAAAAAGUAAUAUGGAUACUUUCCAAAGAAGACUUGCAAGAUAGAAAUGGAGGCUAGAGGUGAUUAUACAUUCUGCAUAAUUUUUGGGGGGGGACAGAGUUUCACUUUGUCACCCUCGGUAGAGUGCUGUGGCGUCAUAGCUCAUAGCUACCUCAAACUCUUGGGCUCAAGAGAUCCUCUUGCUUCAG
rnacentral:SRP_RNA from 1 species